AAGAAACAAGGUUUCUAUACCUACACAGACAAAUCUAGAAGUCUAGUUUACUGUUGCUAUGUAUGGAGUGGAAAUAGAGCUGGAUUUGUAUUUACUUUGGAAAACAGACUUUAUUUACUGUUAUGUGCUGCCAAGUCCAACAAAAGGAAAAAAGGUACCCUUUCUAAGGAAAACUGUAAGAAGUAAAGAGAGAAUAAUGAGUAAAUUGGGAAAACAGAACCAAGAAAAAGGGAAAUGUAAGAUCUGGAAGAUAGAUCCAGCAUUGCAGGAAAGUCAAGGAUGUCCUAGGAUGACAGCUCUGUGGUAUCCCAAGACGUUCCUGCUCUUUCCUAUAACCUUCCAGAGCGGCAGCCCAUCUUGUCACUUGUUCUGAGGUUUCAUCUGAAAUAGUUGUAAUGUGUUUUGUGCCAUCGAGAGUUAUUACUUGAGCUUCCUCAACAAGAUGUGCUUCAGCUUCAGCAUGGUGGGCAUCCGGAUCGAUGACAACUUCAACUGUUUCCGCAGGUUUUACAAUUUCAAGGAUGUUUAGCUUAGGCUCAAUUCCUUAAGAGUGGGAUAAAAAAAAGUAAAUAUACAUGAAAACAAAAAAGCCACUAAAAAAUAAAAUUUAGCUUAGUUUAUAUGUUCUCAAAAGGUAGAGCAAAUGUUCUCUUUUAGACAUAAAUACAAUUAUUCACUAGAAUUUCAGUAGAUGACAGUAUGUGUUAAUAUUAAUUUCCUGAUUUUGAUAAUUGUAAUGUAGUCAUAAAAAAAGAAUUACUUGUUUUUAGAAGACACAUACACUGAUGCAUUUAGGGACAGAAGGAAAUCAUGUCUGCAACUUAUUCUUAAAAAUAAUGCGGGGAUUGGUGGAUGGAAAUAAAGCAAAUGUAAUAAAAGUUAACAUUUGGAGAAUCUAGGUAAAGGACAUUCAGGAAUUUUUUUACUACUCUUGCAACUUUUCUGUACAUCUGAAAUAAUAUAGAAGACACCACCACCAUACCCAAUUACAUAUAAACAUUUAUUAGAAAAAAAGUACCAGUAUGGAUUAGAAUAUAAAAGCCAGACCAGCGAGAAUAUAAAUGAGUGGUUACCCACCUGUAGAAUUUUUAAAAAGUCCUUCUAAGCAAAUUAAAAUAAUUUACUGGCUGUUUUUCUUUUCAAAGGUCAAAGUACAUGUUUUAAAAAUGAAUAGGCACUAAGUUUGUUAGAUUAAAUUCACAUUACUAACUUCUGAUUUCCCUUUUCAAUUGAAUGAAUCAACAACCCCAAAUUCUUAAGACGGUCACAACAGAAUAACUAGCCCUGUAUAUAAUCAUCUCGAUACUUCCACUAAAAUGACAGCUCUAAGAAACUAGCAUAUUAGCUAAUAGCUAUUGUUUGGUCACUGAUUCUGUUAUAUAAUCUGUAUCAAAUUUAAUCAAAGUGUAUUUGAAAGAAAAAAAUAAAACUUCCUCUCUGAAAGCCAACUCCAUAAUAAAA